AACACAUAUUGUUAGUAUUUUAGCACUAAAAUUAAUCAUUUUUCCUUAACAGUCCCCCUUUUGAGAUCUUCACCAAAGAUCUCACAAAAAAUUGAUUAAGCCUUCUAAUACAGAACCAAAACUAUGUAUUAAACUAAUAAAACGAAAAAACGAAAUAA